rnacentral:snoRNA from 2 species
UUGGCCCUGAAUCAAGGCCAGCAGCUUGCUGGAGCUGUUGGUUUCAAGCAGGAGCCUAAAGAAAAGUCUUUUUAUGGUCUGUUGGCCAUUUCAGAACUUUGGAAAUGUAAUGGUCAAUUCAUUAGAAAGAAACAUUU